rnacentral:tRNA from 1 species
GGGCCCGUAGUCGAAUGGCCAAGACGCCUCGUUUACACCGAGGAGAUUCGGAGUCCGAUUCUCCGCGGGCCCA